CAAUAAUGGAGACUCAAAAAAGUGAUCUGCCUGAUGUGCCAUCCAUCAUGACCUUUAAAGGAUCAUCUGAAAAAUUGUCAAGUGAUGAACACAAGACACAGCUAGUGGGAUCAAGUGAAACUAUAACAGAGAUUCAAAAAAGUGACAUGCCUGAUGUGCCAUCCACUAUGAGCCUUGAAGGAACAUCUGAAGAACUGUCAAGUGAUGAAUACAAGGCUCAGCUAGUGAGACCAAGU